rnacentral:rRNA from 1 species
UACGUAGGUGGCAAGCGUUAUCCGGAUUUACUGGGUGUAAAGGGAGCGUAGACGGCGCGGCAAGUCUGAAGUGAAAGGCAGGGGCUUAACCCCUGAACUGCUUUGGAAACUGCCAUGCUAGAGUGCUGGAGAGGUAAGUGGAAUUCCUAGUGUAGCGGUGAAAUGCGUAGAUAUUAGGAGGAACACCAGUGGCGAAGGCGGCUUACUGGACAGUAACUGACGUUGAGGCUCGAAAGCGUGGGGAGCAAACAGG